UGUCUGAGGGAUGUUAAUUGAAAAUUAUUAAGUUGGUGCAAAUGCCAACAGGAUUAAAAAAGACGAGAAGACCCUAGAAACUUAUAGUUGAUUUUGCUGGGGCGGCAGAAUUGCAUAUAACCAAUUUUAAUUUACGUGAAGCGACGCAAAAAGAAAAAGUUACUCUAGGGAUAACAGCAUAAUUUUAAUAGUUUGUGACCUCGAUGUUGGACUAGGGAUGUUACCUUCUAGAAGAAGGUAAUUAUGGCUCUGUUCGAGCCCUUAGCCCCUACGUGAUCUGAGUUCAAACCGGACG
rnacentral:rRNA from 1 species